GUCGUUAAGAGAAAACAAAUACUGUCAAAACUGGUUAAGCAAAAUAUAGAUAUUGUGUGCCUCCAAGAGGUACAUAUCAAGAAUCAAGACAAAAAGGCUUUAGAAUUUAAUAAAUUGGGGAAACUCCAUACUGCAUUGCCUGAGAAAAAAAAAGAUGG